CUUCUGCCCUGUAGAGAGAGAGAGGCUAAUGUUUUGACAAAUAGCAGAGGGCUUUUGUCUUCAUGUUCAAUUGUAUACAUAGUCAAUCUAUUUGAAACUUGCUGUCUUCAACAGCAGUAACUGAGAAUGGGAGUGUAGAGUCAUCUGACCAGACUUCCACUACCUAGAGUCAGGGUUCUGUCCUACUGCUAUCCUGGGUCUGUCUCCCUGAAGGAACACACCAUUCCACCUCUGUGACAGGCAGAGACCCACAGAAACACACCAUUCCACCUCUGUGACAGGCAGAGACCCACAGAAACACACCAUUCCACCUCUGUGACAGGCAGAGACCCACAGAAACAUACCAUUAGACAGCAGUAGGACAACACACCGUUAGACAGCAGCAGGACAACACACCGUUAGACAGCAGCAGGACAACGCCAUUAGACAGCAACAGGACAACACCAUUAGACAGCAGUAGGACAACACACCAUUAGACAGCAGUAGGACAACACACCAUUAGACAGCAGUAGGACAACACACCAUUAGACAGCAGUAGGACAACACCAUUAGACAGCAGUAGGACAACACACCAUUAGACAGCAGUAGGGCAACACACCAUUAGACAGCAGCAGGACAACACCAUUAGACAGCAGCAGGACAACACACCAUUAGACAGCAGCAGGACAACACACCAUUAGACAGCAUAUGGACAACACCAUUAGACAGCAGUAGGACAACACCAUUAGACAGCAGUAGGACAACACCAUUAGACAGCAGUAGGGCAACACACCAUUAGACAGCAACAGCAACACACCAUUAGACAGCAGCAGGGCAACACACCAUUAGACAGCAGCAGGGCAACACCAUUAGACAGUAGUAGGACAACACCAUUAGACAGCAACACACCAUUAGACAGCAACACACCAUUAGACAGCAACACACCAUUAGACAGCAGUAGGACAACACCAUUAGACAGCAGCAAGACAGCAGUAGGACAACACCAUUAGACAGCAGUAGGACAACACCAUUAGACAGCAGUAGGACAACACACCAUUAGACAGCAGCAGGACAACACACCAUUAGACAGCAGUAGGACAACACCAUUAGACAGCAGUAGGACAACACCAUUAGACAGUAGCAGGACAACACCAUUAGACAGCAGUAGGACAACACCAUUAGACAGCAGUAGGACAACACACCAUUAGACAGCAGCAGGACAACACACCAUUAGACAGCAACACACCAUUAGACAGCAACAGGACAACACACCAUUAGACAGCAGCAGGACAACACACCAUUAGACAGCAACAGGGCAACACCAUUAGACAGCAGCAGGACAACACACCAUUAGACAGCAACAGGACAACACACCAUUAGACAGCAACAGGACAACACACCAUUAGACAGCAACAGGACAACACACCAUUAGACAGCAGCAGGACAACACACCAUUAGACAGCAACAGGACAACACACCAUUAGACAGCAACAGGACAACACACCAUUAGACAGCAGCAGGACAACACACCAUUAGACAGCAACAGGACAACACACCAUUAGACAGCAGUAGGGCAACACGCCAUUAGACAGCAGCAGGACAACACCAUUAGACAGCAACACACCAUUAGACAGCAG
ensembl:lncRNA